rnacentral:rRNA from 1 species
AUUGAACGCUGGCGGAAUGCUUUACACAUGCAAGUCGAGCGGCAGCACGGGGGCAGCCCUGGUGGCGAGCGGCGAACGGGUGAGUAAUACAUCGGAACAUGCCCAGUCGUGGGGGAUAACACUUCGAAAGAAGUGCUAAUACCGCAUACGUCCUGAGGGAGAAAGCGGGGGAUCUUCGGACCUCGCGCGAUUGGAGUGGCCGAUGUCAGAUUAGCUAGUUGGUGGGGUAAAGGCCUACCAAGGCAACGAUCUGUAGCUGGUCUGAGAGGAUGAUCAGCCACACUGGGACUGAGACACGGCCCAGACUCCUACGGGAGGCAGCAGUGGGGAAUUUUGGACAAUGGGCGCAAGUCUGAUCCAGCAAUGCCGCGUGCAGGAUGAAGGCCUUCGGGUUGUAAACUGCUUUUGUACGGAACGAAAAGCCCUGGGUUAAUACCCUGGGGUCAUGACGGUACCGUAAGAAUAAGCACCGGCUAACUACGUGCCAGCAGCCGCCGUAACAC